GGGUUGUGAGGUUAAGCGACUAAGCGUACACGGUGGAUGCCCUGGCAGUCAGAGGCGAUGAAGGACGUGCUAAUCUGCGAUAAGCGUCGGUGAGGUGAUAUGAACCGUUAUAACCGGCGAUUUCCGAAUGGGGAAACCCAGUGUGUUUCGACACACUAUCAUUAACUGAAUCCAUAGGUUAAUGAGGCGAACCGGGGGAACUGAAACAUCUAAGUACCCCGAGGAAAAGAAAUCAACCGAGAUUCCCCCAGUAGCGGCGAGCGAACGGGGAGGAGCCCAGAGCCUGAAUCAGUGUGUGUGUUAGUGGAAGCGUCUGGAAAGGCGCGCGAUACAGGGUGACAGCCCCGUACACAAAAAUGCACAUGCUGUGAGCUCGAUGAGUAGGGCGGGACACGUGGUAUCCUGUCUGAAUAUGGGGGGACCAUCCUCCAAGGCUAAAUACUCCUGACUGACCGAUAGUGAACCAGUACCGUGAGGGAAAGGCGAAAAGAACCCCGGCGAGGGGAGUGAAAAAGAACCUGAAACCGUGUACGUACAAGCAGUGGGAGCCUCUUAAUGGGGUGACUGCGUACCUUUUGUAUAAUGGGUCAGCGACUUAUAUUCUGUAGCAAGGUUAACCGAAUAGGGGAGCCGAAGGGAAACCGAGUCUUAACUGGGCGUUAAGUUGCAGGGUAUAGACCCGAAACCCGGUGAUCUAGCCAUGGGCAGGUUGAAGGUUGGGUAACACUAACUGGAGGACCGAACCGACUAAUGUUGAAAAAUUAGCGGAUGACUUGUGGCUGGGGGUGAAAGGCCAAUCAAACCGGGAGAUAGCUGGUUCUCCCCGAAAGCUAUUUAGGUAGCGCCUCGUGAAUUCAUCUCCGGGGGUAGAGCACUGUUUCGGCAAGGGGGUCAUCCCGACUUACCAACCCGAUGCAAACUGCGAAUACCGGAGAAUGUUAUCACGGGAGACACACGGCGGGUGCUAACGUCCGUCGUGAAGAGGGAAACAACCCAGACCGCCAGCUAAGGUCCCAAAGUCAUGGUUAAGUGGGAAACGAUGUGGGAAGGCCCAGACAGCCAGGAUGUUGGCUUAGAAGCAGCCAUCAUUUAAAGAAAGCGUAAUAGCUCACUGGUCGAGUCGGCCUGCGCGGAAGAUGUAACGGGGCUAAACCAUGCACCGAAGCUGCGGCAGCGACGCUUAUGCGUUGUUGGGUAGGGGAGCGUUCUGUAAGCCUGUGAAGGUGGCCUGUGAGGGUUGCUGGAGGUAUCAGAAGUGCGAAUGCUGACAUAAGUAACGAUAAAGCGGGUGAAAAGCCCGCUCGCCGGAAGACCAAGGGUUCCUGUCCAACGUUAAUCGGGGCAGGGUGAGUCGACCCCUAAGGCGAGGCCGAAAGGCGUAGUCGAUGGGAAACAGGUUAAUAUUCCUGUACUUGGUGUUACUGCGAAGGGGGGACGGAGAAGGCUAUGUUGGCCGGGCGACGGUUGUCCCGGUUUAAGCGUGUAGGCUGGUUUUCCAGGCAAAUCCGGAAAACCAAGGCUGAGGCGUGAUGACGAGGCACUACGGUGCUGAAGCGACAAAUGCCCUGCUUCCAGGAAAAGCCUCUAAGCAUCAGGUAACAUCAAAUCGUACCCCAAACCGACACAGGUGGUCAGGUAGAGAAUACCAAGGCGCUUGAGAGAACUCGGGUGAAGGAACUAGGCAAAAUGGUGCCGUAACUUCGGGAGAAGGCACGCUGAUAUGUAGGUGAAGCGACUUGCUCGUGGAGCUGAAAUCAGUCGAAGAUACCAGCUGGCUGCAACUGUUUAUUAAAAACACAGCACUGUGCAAACACGAAAGUGGACGUAUACGGUGUGACGCCUGCCCGGUGCCGGAAGGUUAAUUGAUGGGGUUAGCGGUAACGCGAAGCUCUUGAUCGAAGCCCCGGUAAACGGCGGCCGUAACUAUAACGGUCCUAAGGUAGCGAAAUUCCUUGUCGGGUAAGUUCCGACCUGCACGAAUGGCGUAAUGAUGGCCAGGCUGUCUCCACCCGAGACUCAGUGAAAUUGAACUCGCUGUGAAGAUGCAGUGUACCCGCGGCAAGACGGAAAGACCCCGUGAACCUUUACUAUAGCUUGACACUGAACAUUGAGCCUUGAUGUGUAGGAUAGGUGGGAGGCUUUGAAGUGUGGACGCCAGUCUGCAUGGAGCCGACCUUGAAAUACCACCCUUUAAUGUUUGAUGUUCUAACGUUGGCCCCUAAUCGGGGUUGCGGACAGUGUCUGGUGGGUAGUUUGACUGGGGCGGUCUCCUCCUAAAGAGUAACGGAGGAGCACGAAGGUUGGCUAAUCCUGGUCGGACAUCAGGAGGUUAGUGCAAUGGCAUAAGCCAGCUUGACUGCGAGCGUGACGGCGCGAGCAGGUGCGAAAGCAGGUCAUAGUGAUCCGGUGGUUCUGAAUGGAAGGGCCAUCGCUCAACGGAUAAAAGGUACUCCGGGGAUAACAGGCUGAUACCGCCCAAGAGUUCAUAUCGACGGCGGUGUUUGGCACCUCGAUGUCGGCUCAUCACAUCCUGGGGCUGAAGUAGGUCCCAAGGGUAUGGCUGUUCGCCAUUUAAAGUGGUACGCGAGCUGGGUUUAGAACGUCGUGAGACAGUUCGGUCCCUAUCUGCCGUGGGCGCUGGAGAACUGAGGGGGGCUGCUCCUAGUACGAGAGGACCGGAGUGGACGCAUCACUGGUGUUCGGGUUGUCAUGCCAAUGGCACUGCCCGGUAGCUAAAUGCGGAAGAGAUAAGUGCUGAAAGCAUCUAAGCACGAAACUUGCCCCGAGAUGAGUUCUCCCUGAGACUUAGAGUCUCCUGAAGGAACGUUGAAGACGACGACGUUGAUAGGCCGGGUGUGUAAGCGCAGCGAUGCGUUGAGCUAACCGGUACUAAUGAACCGUGAGGCUUAACCUUACAACGCCGAAG
rnacentral:rRNA from 1 species